GAUGAACGCUGGCGGCGUGCCUAAUACAUGCAAGUCGAGCGAACAGACGAGGAGCUUGCUCCUCUGACGUUAGCGGCGGACGGGUGAGUAACACGUGGAUAACCUACCUAUAAGACUGGGAUAACUUCGGGAAACCGGAGCUGAUACCGGAUAAUAAAUUGAACCGCAGGGUUCAAUAGUGAAAGACGGUUUUGCUGUCACUUAUAGAUGGAUCCGCGCCGCAUUAGCUAGUUGGUAAGGUAACGGCUUACCAAGGCGACGAUGCGUAGCCGACCUGAGAGGGUGAUCGGCCACACUGGAACUGAGACACGGUCCAGACUCCUACGGGAGGCAGCAGUAGGGAAUCUUCCGCAAUGGGCGAAAGCCUGACGGAGCAACGCCGCGUGAGUGAUGAAGGUCUUCGGAUCGUAAAACUCUGUUAUUAGGGAAGAACAAAUGUGUAAGUAACUAUGCACGUCUUGACGGUACCUAAUCAGAAAGCCACGGCUAACUACGUG
rnacentral:rRNA from 1 species